AGAGUUUGAUCAUGGCUCAGAUUGAACGCUGGCGGCAUGCUUUACACAUGCAAGUCGAACGGUAACGCGGGGGCAACCCUGGCGACGAGUGGCGAACGGGUGAGUAAUACAUCGGAACGUGUCCUGAGGUGGGGGAUAACCUAUCGAAAGGUAGGCUAAUACCGCAUACGCUCGGGAGAGGAAAGCGGGGGAUCGGUAACGACCUCGCGUCGCAGGAGCGGCCGAUGUCCGAUUAGCUAGUUGGUGGGGUAAAGGCUUACCAAGGCGACGAUCGGUAGCUGGUCUGAGAGGAUGAUCAGCCACACUGGGACUGAGACACGGCCCAGACUCCUACGGGAGGCAGCAGUGGGGAAUUUUGGACAAUGGGGGCAACCCUGAUCCAGCCAUGCCGCGUGAGUGAAGAAGGCCUUCGGGUUGUAAAGCUCUUUCGGUGGGAACGAAACGGUUACCACUAACACUGGUGACUACUGACGGUACUCACAGAAGAAGCACCGGCUAACUACGUGCCAGCAGCCGCGGUAAUACGUAGGGUGCGAGCGUUAAUCGGAAUUACUGGGCGUAAAGCGUGCGCAGGCGGUGGCUCAAGCCAGGCGUGAAAUCCCCGGGCUUAACCUGGGAAUGGCGUUUGGGACUGGGUCGCUAGAGUGUGGCAGAGGGAGGUGGAAUUCCACGUGUAGCAGUGAAAUGCGUAGAGAUGUGGAGGAACACCGAUGGCGAAGGCAGCCUCCUGGGCCAGCACUGACGCUCAUGCACGAAAGCGUGGGGAGCAAACAGGAUUAGAUACCCUAGUAGUCC
rnacentral:rRNA from 1 species